rnacentral:rRNA from 1 species
GGGCUGGAAUGAAUGGAAGGACGGGGGCUAGUCUGUCUUUUUUUUACUUUUGGAAUUUUCUUUUUGGGUGAAGAGGCCCUGGUUUUGGAGUGGGACAAGAAGACCCCAUCGAGUUUUACUUAUUUGGUAGGGCUUUGUUUAGUUUUAGUUUGUUUAGUUUUAGUUUGUAUAAUAUUUUUUGGGUUUUAUUGUUUGGUUUGGUUGGGGUGAUCAAAGAAGAAAAAAUCUUCUAUUUUUUUUUAAUUACUGUUGUAAUAGUGAUCCAUUUGUUUAAUGAUCUAUGGACUAAGUUACCGUGGGGAUAACAGCGUAAUUUUUUUUCGAGAGUUCUUAUCGAAAAAAGAGAUUGCGACCUCGAUGUUGACUUAUUGUUUCCUUUUUUGGUGUAGG